CAGUAGCCGCGGUAAUACGGAGGGUGCAAGCGUUAUCCGGAUUUAUUGGGUUUAAAGGGUCCGUAGGCGGACUUAUAAGUCAGUGGUGAAAGCCUGUCGCUUAACGAUAGAACUGCCAUUGAUACUGUAAGUCUUGAGUAUAUUUGAGGUAGCUGGAAUAAGUAGUGUAGCGGUGAAAUGCAUAGAUAUUACUUAGAACACCAAUUGCGAAGGCAGGUUACCAAGAUAUAACUGACGCUGAGGGACGAAAGCGUGGGUAGCGAACAGGAUUAGAGACCCCAGUAGUCCCUGUCUCUUAUAA
rnacentral:rRNA from 1 species